AGUGAACGCUGGCGGUAGGCCUAACACAUGCAAGUCGAACGGCAGCACAGUAAGAGCUUGCUCUUACGGGUGGCGAGUGGCGGACGGGUGAGGAAUACAUCGGAAUCUACUUUUUCGUGGGGGAUAACGUAGGGAAACGUACGCUAAUACCGCAUACGACCUACGGGUGAAAGCAGGGGAUAUUCGGACCUUGCGCGAUUGAAUGAGCCGAUGUCGGAUUAGCUAGUUGGCGGGGUAGGGGCCCACCAAGGCGACGAUCCGUAGCUGCUCUGAGCGGAUGAGCAGCCACACUGGCAGUGAGACACGGUCCAGACUCCUACGAGAGGCAGCAGGGGGGAAUAUUGGACAAUGGGCGCAAGCGUGAUCCAGCCAUAGCGCGUGGGUGAAGAAGGCUUUCGGGUUGUAAAGCCCUUGUGUUGGGAAAGAAAAGCAGCAGGUUAAUACCCCGCUGUUCUGACGGUACCCAAAGAAUAAGCAACGGCUAACUUCGUG
rnacentral:rRNA from 1 species